rnacentral:rRNA from 1 species
CACGUAGGGGGCGAGCGUUGUCCGGAAUUAUUGGGCGUAAAGCGCACGUAGGCGGACUCUUAAGUCGGUGGUGAAAUCCUGGAGCUCAACUCCAGAACUGCCUCCGAUACUGGGAGCCUUCGAGUCCGGGAGAGGUGAGUGGAACUGCGAGUGUAGAGGUGAAAUUCGUAGAUAUUCGCAAGAACACCAGUGGCGAAGGCGGCUCACUGGCCCGGUACUGACGCUGAGGUGCGAAAGCGUGGGGAGCAAACAGG